rnacentral:pre_miRNA from 1 species
UUUCUACUCCCUCCAUCCGAAAAUACUUGUCAUCAAAAUGGAUAAAAAGAGAUGUAUCUAAAACUAAAAUACGUCUAGAUACAUUUCCUUUUAUCCAUUUUGAUGACAAGUAUUUCCGGACGGAGGGAGUAGUUG